rnacentral:rRNA from 1 species
AGAGCGAACGCUGGCGGCAGGCCUAACACAUGCAAGUCGAGCGCCCGUAGCAAUACGGGAGCGGCAGACGGGAGAGUAACACGUGGGAACGCGCCCUUCGGUUCGGAAUAACUCAGGGAAACUUGAGCUAAUACCGGAUACGCCCUUACGGGGAAAGAUUUAUUGCCGAAGGAACGGCCCGCGUCCGAUUAGCUUGUUGGUGAGGUAACGGCUCACCAAGGCGACGAUCGGUAGCUGGUCUGAGAGGAUGACCAGCCUCACUGGGACUGAGACACGGCCCAGACUCCUACGGGAGGCAGCAGUGGGGAAUAUUGGACAAUGGGCGCAAGCCUGAUCCAGCCAUGCCGCGUGGAUGAUGAAGGCCCUAGGGUUGUAAAGUCUUUAACGGGAGAUAAUGACGGUACCGUAGAAUAAGCCCGGCUAACUUCGCGCCAGCAGCCGC